rnacentral:lncRNA from 1 species
GGCUUUUUUUUUUUUUUUCCGUCUGUUUGAAGUCCCUCUGCACCACUUCUUGUGUCGUAAUGUGUAAGGAAGAUGCUUGUGACUUCCUCACAGCUCACUGACUACUACCACACUCAUAAGGAGGACACAGUUUUUCUUGACAAUAGUCAUUUUAUGCCUGUCCUUUCUAGACCAGAACACCCCAGCAGUAAGUGAAAGACCUUUGGCUUCCCAUCCAAUCAAGAUCACCAAGACAGCAACUCGAAAGUGCCCUGAGGUGAACAUCUUGUUAGAAAGGCCCUGCAGUGCCAACUCACUGGAUGAAAGUAUGGGGACAGAGGAGGAAUCAGAGAAAAUGGAGGCCCCCCUUCCCUUCU